GCAUCGAUGGUAUAGUUGUUUAUCGCAUACAUCUAACGAAGUGUCUUGGUACUACGUACAGAAGGUGCCCAGUUCGAAUCUGGGUCGACUCA